rnacentral:rRNA from 1 species
AUGCAGGAAAAUGGUGUGAAUUGUGGUGUUGUAGAGUGGGUUGAUGGGCCUUGGCCAACUGUUCUUCAGAGAUGUUUGUGCAAGCUAUGGGAGAUGUUCCAUGAGCAGAACUUUGGAAGGGUGCAGGACAAGGAGAAGUUUGAGAAGGAGUUGGCCAGGCUUAAGACUGAAAAUGACAAGCUUUGCAUUGAGUACACCAAGCUUGUUGAUGAUGUAUCCAAGAUGUUUGAUUGGCAGGAUGGUAGGGUGGACAAGAAGGUGCACCAGAAACAAGUGGAGGAGGAAGAACUUGAGAAGAAGAAGAAGCAACUAGAGGAGAAAGCUAUGUUGGAGGUGCAGAUGGAAAAGCUCAAACUUGCAAAAGAACAGAGGUGCAUUUUGCAGAGCCAAGCUGAUAUCAUCAAGAACACCAGGAAGGCUAUGAAGGAUGUUCAAGUUGACAGAGAUGUUCUUAAGAAGGGGAAGGCAAAGCUUGAGCUUGUUGUUGCUGAGCUGCUGAAAGAAGGGUAUGGCAGCAAGGAGAAGUUAGAGAAAAUCAAGGCCAUCCUUGAGUCUUGA